UACGUAGGCAGCGAGCGUUGUUCGGAGUUACUGGGCGUAAAGGGUGCGUAGGCGGUUGUUUAAGUUUGGUGUGAAAUCUCCCGGCUCAACUGGGAGGUGCGCCGAAUACUGAAUGACUAGAGUGCGGGAGAGGAUAGUGGAAUUCCUGGUGUAGCGGUGAAAUGCGUAGAUAUCAGGAGGAACACCGGUGGUGUAGACGGCUCUCUGGACCGUAACUGACGCUGAGACACGAAAGCGUGGGUAGCAAACAGG
rnacentral:rRNA from 1 species